rnacentral:lncRNA from 1 species
CUUUAUAGCAACGUGAAAAGAGACUAAUACAACAAACAAUCUACUUACAAUAGAUCUGAGAAUAAAAUACCUGGGAAUAAAUUUAACCAAGAGGUGAAAGACCUGGACACUGAAAACUACAAAAAAUUGCUGGCAGAAGUUAAAGAGGAACGAAUUAAAUGACUCCUUCAGAAAUGCAACACAGAGGACUCUAGCCCAACGCAUAAUCUACACUCCAAACUGAAGUUUCUCCUUCAAACUUUGUCUGCUUUACCAUCCUGAUGAGCUUGCCUUCACAUUAACUCAAUGACCCAUGUUGCCCUGUUCACCGAAAUCCUGAAACCAACACUGAGGUAGUCCUGGAGCCUGGCUGUGGCUCUGCCCAACUUUCCUGAGCCACCUCCACUCCUUGCUACUACUGGUCACAGUGGAGAGAUACACAGAGGACAACAGGCAAGGAAAAAAGAGAGCUGAAGAUUAUCAUUAUUUCCUCACUCUUUUCAUCAAAGAUAUUAUCUCCUGGUCCUGAAAUAGUACUGCUCCUUGACACCCUCCUGAGAUACCAGACAAUAAAAAAUGUAGAUUUUAAAAAGUAACCAUCACCUUAUGCUUUAUAAUAAGCCACAAUUUUGUGCUGUUCUUAUUCUAUUAAAGACAAUCGCUACAAUAUAUAAACAUGGUUAGAAACCAUGCAAGCAAGAAAAGCAUGUGGUGAAAUAUUUAAAGAAUUGAAAGGAAAAAAAAAUCUACCUAGAAGUUUGUACCCAGUGAAAUUAUCCUCCAAAAGUGAAGGAAAAAUAAAGACUUUAUCAGAAAAAAGAAUUGAUGUAGACCUACCUUGCAAAGAAGGAUUACAAGAAGUUCUUCAGAGAGGAGGAAAAUGGUGUAGGUCAGAAACUUGGGUCUGCAUAAGCAACAGGGAGCAUCAGGAAAGAAGUGUUGUCAAUAAAAGAGCCACGAGAGAGAGAGAAGAGAACUUGAAGAGACAAUAAAGGACACAAUUUGCUGCUUUCUGAAUCACUGAUGAAUCUGAGUCAGUUAAGGUAUAAAUGCUUCAAAAAUAAAUAGUAUGAAUGGCAAGAAUGGACUCUUGUUAAGUACUUUCUAAUAGUAGAAUUUGCAUUUAUUAUAAACCUGCAUCGAUGUUGCACUUUUAUCAAAAUUAAAGCCAUUAAG